rnacentral:sRNA from 1 species
CAUGACUUACAUAUGUUCUUGUCUCUAUAUUAAACUUUGUUUUCAGGUCAGUACAAGUGAGGUCGUCUGAUCCAAUAACAUCAAAAUGAAGUUGAUCGUCUGCUGUAUCUUGUUCAUUGAAGUGACUCUGGCUCUUGCCCGUAUCCCUCCACCAAAAGGUUGCUUCUAUGACAACGUCUUCUAUCCGUUUGGUGCAAACUUUCAACCAAACGAUUGCACUGUUUGUGUUUGUGAAAGCAACGGGCAAACUCCUUGCGCCAUCAUGGAUUGUGCUAGACCGCCCUGUAGCAGUCCCGUCAAAAUACCUGGACAGUGUUGUCCUGUGUGCAGGGUCAGGCCUUAUGAAGAUUUAGCUUUGGAGCAAAAGGCGUUAAAUUAACUUAAGUUUAUGUUUUUAAACCCAAAAACUUAUAUUUAGUCCAUAUUUUCUUGAGCAUUGUUUGUAUGUUAAUGGUUACAAACACACACACAAACAAACAAUAUUUCCAACUUAAUAGAAAGACAUUAACAAAAAAAACAUUUAAAAUGUUUUUUUCCUAAUUAACAGCUUAACUUUGUCCUCUAUAUUGGAAUAAAUGGUUUGGUUAUAAGAAACUAC